UUCAAGCUGUAACAACAGACACAAGAUAUUAGCCAACCAAAAAAGUUGCCAAUAUCUUCCUAAAUAUGCAGUUGUCAAAAAUAUUCAAUGUACAAAGCAAAGGAAAGUUAGCAAACAAUUUAAGGAGGAUAACAGUAGAAAAUUAGGAGCCCAUCUAUCAAUUUAAUAUUUUAAUGACUUAUAUAAUAUUAGCAGCAAUGCAACUCAUUCAAAAGUGAGAAAAAACAACACAUAUAUGGAAGGUGUUCAAAAUCAUCCCUAAGAGAGCCCAAUAUAACAUGAAGACUUAUGUUUGCGACAAAGGAACAAAUGAAGCACAGGGGAAAAUAUAUUUUAUUUGCAUUCACUGGGUUAUGAUUCAUAGAAAGAUAUCAUAGCGUUCCUCAAGCAGCAGUGGUUAUUCCUGAGUGAAAGAACCAUGUACUUCUAUGUCCAAACACCUAAUUGCAAUAGCAUUAUCAAAGAUUUCACUUGCAUUUAACCAG
rnacentral:misc_RNA from 1 species